AGUGAACGCUGGCGGCAGGCCUAACACAUGCAAGUCGAGCGGCAGCGCGUCCGACCACCCUCGGGUGGUCGGAUGGCGGCGAGCGGCGGACGGGUGAGGAAUGCAUCGGAAUCUGCCUCGUUGUGGGGGAUAACGUAGGGAAACUUACGCUAAUACCGCAUACGGCCUACGGGUGAAAGUGGGGGACCUUCGGGCCUCACGCGAUGAGAUGAGCCGAUGCCGGAUUAGCUAGUUGGCGGGGUAAAGGCCCACCAAGGCGACGAUCCGUAGCUGGUCUGAGAGGAUGAUCAGCCACACUGGAACUGAGACACGGUCCAGACUCCUACGGGAGGCAGCAGUGGGGAAUAUUGGACAAUGGGGGCAACCCUGAUCCAGCAACGCCGCGUGAAUGAAGAAGGCCCUUGGGUUGUAAAGUUCUUUUAUAACUGAGAAGAAGUCCUAGUUUAAGAGAUGGGGAUGGAGAUAGUAAGUUAUGAAUAAGCACCGGCUAACUACGUGCCAG
rnacentral:rRNA from 1 species